rnacentral:rRNA from 1 species
UACGUAGGGGGCAAGCGUUGUCCGGAUUUAUUGGGCGUAAAGAGCGUGUAGGCGGCCUGAAAGGUCAGCUGUGAAAACUCGAGGCUCAACCUCGAGACGUCGGUUGAAACCAUCUGGCUAGAGUCCGGAAGAGGAGUGUGGAAUUCCCGGUGUAGCGGUGAAAUGCGCAGAUAUCGGGAAGAACACCGGUGGCGAAGGCGGCGACCUGGUCCGAUACUGACGCUGAGGCGCGAAAGCGUGGGGAGCAAACAGG